UGGAAAUCAAAGUUGCCGCCCCCA
rnacentral:piRNA from 1 species